GGGCCCGCACAAGCGGUGGAGCAUGUGGUUUAAUUCGAUGCAACGCGAAGAACCUUACCUACUCUUGACAUCUACAGGAUCCUGCGGAGACGCGGGAGUGCCUUCGGGAACUGUAAGACAGGUGCUGCAUGGCUGUCGUCAGCUCGUGUUGUGAAAUGUUGGGUUAAGUCCCGCAACGAGCGCAACCCUUAUCCUUGUUUGCCAGCGAGUAAUGUCGGGAACUCCAGGGAGACUGCCGGUGAUAAACCGGAGGAAGGUGGGGACGACGUCAAGUCAUCAUGGCCCUUACGAGUAGGGCUACACACGUGCUACAAUGGUAUGUACAGAGGGAGGCAAGCUGGCGACAGUGAGCGGAUCUCUUAAAGCAUAUCGUAGUCCGGAUCGCAGUCUGCAACUCGACUGCGUGAAGUCGGAAUCGCUAGUAAUCG
rnacentral:rRNA from 1 species